rnacentral:lncRNA from 1 species
AUGUCUUUUUCCAUCUUUCUCAGUCUCCUCUAUUUCUCUCUCCUGUCUCUUUCUGUCUCUCCUCUGUAUCUCUCUCCUUUUUUGUUUCUAUAUGGGCUUCUGUCUCUGUCCAUCUGUCACUGUGUCUCUCUCUGUCUCUUUUCUCCCUCUGUUUAUCUUUUUCCAUCUCUCUUUCUCUUAUUCCUCUCUGUCUCUCUCCUCUCUCUCUGUCUCUCUCCUUCUCUCUGUCUCUGUCUCUCCCUCUCUCUCUAUCCCUCUCUCUCUAUCCCUCUCCCUCUCCCUCUCCCUCUCUCUCUCUCUCUCCCUCUCCUCUCCCUCUCCCUCUCCCUCUCCCUCUCCCUCUCCCUCUCCCUCUCCCUCUCCCUCUCCCUCUCCCUCUCCCUCUCCCUCUCUCUCUCUCUCUCUCUCUCUCUCUCUCUCUCUCUCUCUCUCUCUCUCUCUCUCUCUCUCUCUCUCCUAUCUCCUUUUAUUUCUUGCCUGUAUCUCUCUUCUUUUUCUGACUGGGAUUCUUUCUGUGUCUUUCCCUCUGUCUCUUUGUGUCUCCAUUUCUUUCUCUGUCUCCUCUCUUUGUCUCUCUCCAUCUCUAUUUUUCUGUCCCCUCUCUGUCUCUGUCUGUAUCCUUCUGUCUCUCCACAGUGUCUUUAUUUUUCUGUCUGUCUCCUCCCACUUUUUCUAUCUCCUGUCUCCUCUCUUUCUCCUUCUGGCUCCCUUCUGUAUACCUCUCAUUUUUUGUUUGUUCUGUUCUCUUUCUCUUCCUCUGUCUCUGCCUCUCUUCUGUAUCUAUCUCCUUUUCUGUUAUUGUUUGUACUUCUCUAUCUCUUCCUCUAUCCCUUUGUCUCUCUCUUCAUUGCUCUUUCUGUUUCCCCUGCCUCUCUGCUUUUCUCUUUUCUGAUUUUCCUCUCUAUCUCCCUCCUUUUCUGUUUCUAUGUGAGCUUCUGUCUCUCCAUUUCUUUGUCUCCUCUCUCUAUUUUCUUUCUCUUUUCUGUUUGUCUGUCUUUUUCUCUCUCUUCAUCUCUCUCUCCUUCUGUCUCUCCUCUGUAUCUCUCAUUUUCUGUUACUAUCUGUACUUCUCUCUAUCUAUCUCUCCCUCUGUCUCUUAGACUCUUACCAUCUCUCUCUGUCUCCUCUUUGUCACUGUCUCUUUGCUUUGCUCUCUCUCAUAUCUGUAUCCUUUUCUGUUUCUAUCUGGGCUUCUCUCUGUCUCUCUCCUUCUGUCUCUUUGUUGUCUCUCCCUCCAUUUUUUUCUCUGCCUCCUCUUUGUCUCUCUCCAUCUCUAUCUCUCUGACUCCUUGA